UACGAAGGGGGCUAGCGUUGCUCGGAAUCACUGGGCGUAAAGGGUGCGUAGGCGGGUCUUUUAAGUCAGGGGUGAAAUCCUGGAGCUCAACUCCAGAACUGCUUUUGAUACUGAUGAUCUUGAGUUCGGGAGAGGUGAGUGGAACUGCGAGUGUAGAGGUGAAAUUCGUAGAUAUUCGCAAGAACACCAGUGGCGAAGGCGGCUCACUGGCCCGAUACUGACGCUGAGGCACGAAAGCGUGGGGAGCAAACAGG
rnacentral:rRNA from 1 species